CGUAGGGUGCGAGCGUUAAUCGGAAUUACUGGGCGUAAAGCGUGCGCAGGCGGUUUUGUAAGACAGAUGUGAAAUCCCCGGGCUCAACCUGGGACCUGCAUUUGUGACUGCAAGGCUAGAGUACGGUAGAGGGGGAUGGAAUUCCGCGUGUAGCAGUGAAAUGCGUAGAUAUGCGGAGGAACACCGAUGGCGAAGGCAAUCCCCUGGACCUGUACUGACGCUCAUGCACGAAAGCGUGGGGAGCAAACAGGAUUAGAUACCCUGGCAGUCCACGCCCUAAACGAUGUCAACUGGUUGUUGGGUCUUUACUGACUCAGUAACGAAGCUAACGCGUGAAGUUGACCGCCUGGGGAGUACGGCCGCAAGGUUG
rnacentral:rRNA from 1 species